AAUCCAAUCAGUAAACCAAAUCUCACUCUCAAUCUUAUUCUUGCACCAAUUUCCUAUUCGAUUCUCUGUUGAUAGAACCUAAAUUACGGAUUUUGGCCCUAAUUUGAAGUCAUGACGCAAGCAGAAGACGGAGGUUCGAACAAGGAACUUUAUGCUCUACUUCAUCUUCUCGCCUCCGACUAACAGGUACAAAAGCACAACCUACAUUCCGAAUUCGAAGUUUCUAAUUUUUGAAUUAUUGUAUUCUAGGUUUAUCUUCGAUUGAAUUAGUGGCUGUUAUUAUGUGUUUUGAGUUAUUAUCAGCUUUUAAACAUGUUAUUUGACCAUCUUAAAUGUAGACAAACACUAUAGUUAUGUUAAACAAGACACGUUCUUCAAUUAAUAUUCAGUGUCAGUUGACCAAGAAGUAUCAACGAGUAAGUAAUGCCUUUAUGUGUAGAUUACAACAUAUGUUUUUGUCUCUUUUGGUCAAACUUGACCCUAAUAUUUUCUAGUUUUUGUUUUUUUAGUUUAUUUGUUGUACAUACAGCUUGGUUAGUUGUACAUUGAAUGUAUUAAAGAGUUUACGUGCUUCGUUAUGUUGUAAUCGUACCACAUUAUAUUAUAUGGUACAUCGUACUGAAGCGAUCUGAAAUGAGCCUACCCCCUUGUACCGAAUUUUAGGGACCUAGCAAAUUGCGAUCCCGUUCCACGUUCCCGUGCCGGAGCGUACCGCGAACUAUGUGACUAUGGAUCUCAUACUAGGAGCGUACCGAAUUUUAGGGACCUAGCGAAUUGUUUGUUGUAGGAACCUUUCUUUCCCUAGAAAAUUAGAUGGACUAAGAGAAGCUAAAGAAAAGGCUGAGAAGGAGGUUGCUGCAUUUUGGGUUCAAAUGGAAGCUGAUUUUCAAAGAAAGCUCACAAAGUAAGUUAAAACACAAUCAAUAACUACAGAAUGUCUUGACAACAUAAUCAUUUGUAUACACACAAUUUGAAUUCAGAUGGAAAGAUUGUUAAUUGUUGGCACUCCAUUUUGCAUAAUAAAAAAUGUCAAGAUCUUUAGAAGUCAUGACAUCAUGAAAACUUAAACUACAACAAUUUGCAGUUUGGGAUAUUUUUUUCUUAUAUUGCUUUACCUCCUAUUAGGCAUUGAUGAUCAUGGGUUUUUGAUACAUAAGUUUGCUCUUCUUGGAUGUUGUUAUGCCAUACUUUUGUGCCUUUGGUACUUUUUCCUUCUGUUAAGAAGCUUACUUUUUAGCAUGUUCGUCUUUUCAGGCGUUUAACUUUGUGUUGGCAAGACCAGUUUUUAUAUGUGGAUAUAUGUGAUGAUGGUGAAUGGUGAUACCAAUAUAUGAUUUAAGCACAUUAGAUAUUUAAUUUUGGUACCAUGCUUUGAAUUAAGCACUCUUUUCUAAUGUCAAAUAAGUUUUCAUAUCUGUUUAUUGAUUAUACAUAAAAAUAAGUUUUCAUAUCUAUUUAUCGAUUAAACAUAGAAACAAGUUUUGAUAUUUGUUUAUUGAUCAAGUUCUUAAGGAUUAUUUUUGUGUUUGUUGAUGUAUAUUUUUUUUUUGUUACAAUGUGGCGUUGUCCAAUGAGAUACAAGGGAUAACGGCUGAUGACUCCCCCCCCCCCCCCCCCCCCAAUUUAUUGUUAGAUGGUUAAAGUAGCAAGGAUUGAGCCGGUUAAAUAAUUGAACUACAGAUAGUGCAAAAUCCAACCAGGAAUGUGACACUAGGCAGAUUGACAAGAAGCACCCUAUAGUUUACAACAGGACCAUGAAGAUUAAAAGAAGGGGUUGGGUUGAAAAAGAUAGUCCGGUGGGGGCUGAAUAUUGUAUUCUUUCUGACUAAUCAGCAGAGAAACAAGUAUAGGGCCCGUAAAGCUUGUUAAAAUGUUCGGAACUCGGUUGUGUGAGUGUUAAUAUUAUUGUACCCAGAUGAAGAAAGAGCAAGAAGUUUUAGUAGUAGCUCUAUAAUUGUGGGUUGUAUUCUUAAGGAGUUAUCCAACACUUGCUUAUGUGCUCUUUGUGGGGUUGGAAUCUAGUUUGAUCGAUAACAUUAAGAGUCUG
rnacentral:lncRNA from 1 species